AGAGUUUGAUUAUGGCUCAGAUUGAACGCUGGCGGAAUGCUUUACACAUGCAAGUCGAACGGCAGCACGGGAGCUUGCUCCUGGUGGCGAGUGGCGAACGGGUGAGUAAUGCGUCGGAACGUACCGAGUAAUGGGGGAUAACGCAGCGAAAGCUGUGCUAAUACCGCAUACGCCCUGAGGGGGAAAGCGGGGGAUCUUCGGACCUCGCGUUAUUGGAUUGGCCUAUGUCUGAUUAGCUAGUUGGUGGGGUAAAGGCCCACCAAGGCAUCGAUCAGUAGCUGGUCUGAGAGGAUGAUCAGCCACACUGGAACUGAGACACGGUCCAGACUCCUACGGGAGGCAGCAGUGGGGAAUUUUGGACAAUGGGCGAAAGCCUGAUCCAGCCAUUCCGCGUGAGUGAAGAAGGCCUUCGGGUUGUAAAGCUCUUUCGGCAGGAACGAAAUGGUUGCGGUUAAUAACCGCGACUUCUGACGGUACCUGAAGAAGAAGCACCGGCUAACUACGUGCCAGCAGCCGCGGUAAUACGUAGGGUGCGAGCGUUAAUCGGAAUUACUGGGCGUAAAGCGUGCGCAGGCGGCUUUGUAAGUCAGAUGUGAAAGCCCCGGGCUUAACCUGGGAAUUGCGUUUGAAACUACAAGGCUAGAGUGUGUCAGAGGGGGGUAGAAUUCCACGUGUAGCAGUGAAAUGCGUAGAGAUGUGGAGGAAUACCGAUGGCGAAGGCAGCCCCCUGGGAUAACACUGACGCUCAUGUACGAAAGCGUGGGUAGCAAACAGGAUUAGAUACCCUGGUAGUCCACGCCCUAAACGAUGUCAACUGGUUGUUGGGGGAGUGAAAUCCCUUAGUAACGAAGCUAACGCGUGAAGUUGACCGCCUGGGGAGUACGGUCGCAAGGUUGAAACUCAAA
rnacentral:rRNA from 1 species